AGAAUCCCGCGCGACCCGUCAAUGUGUACCAGACAUAUCCAGCUACUCAAAUUGCAACAAACAUAAUCUAUGUCUGGGAUGCACGCGGUGCUCGUGCUCUCCGGCAGGCAACUGGGAAUGCAGGAGAUGGCAGCAGUGCCGGCAGCAGCCUCCCCUGGAUGUAGACCACCAUCUGCUAGUCGAACUCAUGGAGUAUAUUGACGAUUCCCCAAGGAGCAUCAGAACCAAAACAAAACGUUCGAUUCAGACAAAGGUGUCGCCGAAAGGAACUGAGAAAGAAGAAAACUUUACAUCACAAGAAAUAUCCUCAUUAAUAAAUGUAUUUAACAACACGUUUGAUAUUAAACAAUCUGGUCAAAAUAAUGAUUUAAACACAGUUGACAUUGAAAGGGAUGCAGUCACCGAAAAUUUUGAAU